AAACUGUUUUUAUUUUGAUUUGAAAUCAAAAUUUGGAUUUUCCGCAGUUUU
rnacentral:tRNA from 1 species